CCGAAAUCUGCGCCGGAACCAAGCGGCAUCCAACAUUUGUCAAAGCCAUGCUCACCGCCACGGACCGUAAACCCCUGAACGGAGGGUAGCUAGUGGCAUCAGCUACUGCUGUAAACGCUGUAAACCCGUAGUUCAGGAGAUUGGGGUCGGUGGCGGCGAGCAUGGCUGUGACAAAUGUUGGAUGCCGCUUGGUUCCGGCGCAGAUUUCGG
rnacentral:pre_miRNA from 1 species